rnacentral:rRNA from 1 species
GUCCUCUAGAAUAUUAUUUGAGGUUUAACCUGCCCACUGAAAUUUUAAAUGGCCGCAGUAAUUUGACUGUGCAAAGGUAGCAUAAUCAUUAGUUUUUUAAUUAAAAGCUUGUAUGAAGGGUUGGACGAAGUAAAAUCUGUCUCUAUUUAAUUAAAAUUAGAAUUUAAUUUUUAAGUUAAAAAGCUUAAAUUUUAUUAAAAGACGAGAAGACCCUAUAGAUCUUUAUAUUAUUUAUAUUAAUUUUAUUUAAGAAUAAUUUAUUUUUUAUUAUAAAUAUUAUUUUAUUGGGGUAAUAAAAAGAUUAAAUUAAUUCUUUAUUUUUUUACAUUGAUUUAUGAUUAUAUGAUCCAAUUUUUUUGAUUAAAAGAUUAAGUUACCUUAGGGAUAACAGCGUAAUUUUUUUAGAGAGUUCAUAUCGAUAAAAAAGUUUGCGA